rnacentral:rRNA from 1 species
AACGAACGCUGGCGGCAUGCCUAACACAUGCCAGUCGAACGAGACCUUCGGGUCUAGUGGCGCACGGGUGCGUAACGCGUGGGAACCUGCCCUUAGGUUCGGAAUAACUCCCCGAAAGGGGUGCUAAUACCGGAUAAUGUCUUCGGACCAAAGAUUUAUCGCCUUUGGAUGGGCCCGCGUUGGAUUAGCUAGUUGGUAGGGUAAAAGCCUACCAAGGCGACGAUCCAUAGCUGGUCUGAGAGGAUGAUCAGCCACACUGGGACUGAGACACGGCCCAGACUCCUACGGGAGGCAGCAGUGGGGAAUAUUGGACAAUGGGCGAAAGCCUGAGCCAGCAAUGCCGCGUGAGUGAUGAAGGCCUUAGGGUUGUAAAGCUCUUUUACCCGGGAUGAUAAUGACAGUACCGGGAGAAUAAGCUCCGGCUAACUCCG